GAUCACGUAGCUCAAAUGGAUAGAGCUACUGCCUUCUAAGCAGUCGGUUACAGGUUCGAGUCCUGUCGUGAUCAUUU
rnacentral:tRNA from 1 species